rnacentral:rRNA from 1 species
UACGGAGGAUCCAAGCGUUAUCCGGAUUCAUUGGGUUUAAAGGGUGCGUAGGCGGAAUGAUAAGUCAGUGGUGAAAUCCUGCAGCUUAACUGCAGAACUGCCAUUGAUACUGUCAAUCUUGAGUACAUUUGAUGUGGGCGGAAUGUGUCAUGUAGCGGUGAAAUGCUUAGAUAUGACAUAGAACACCAAUUGCGCAGGCAGCUUACUACACAGUAAUUGACACUGAGGCACGAAAGCGUGGGGAUCAAACAGG